CCCCUGAGAGCAUGGAAAAACAGCCAUAAAGCAAGAAAACCACCGCAUCCUCACCACCACCAAUCUGCAGAGAUUGGAAUCCCCUGGCCCUAACCCCCUAAAUCAAGAAAUUACAAGCUUAAAAGAAACAAGAGAAUCCUCACAUUUUCACUCAAGAGUGUCCCAGAUGAAGCAAAUGUCCCAUCUUGACCACACUCCAUCAACGCCAGGCAAAUUCAAGAUC
rnacentral:misc_RNA from 1 species